CUCCGUGCCCGAUCCUCCCACCCUUUGUGUACCUACCUCUGUUGCUUUGGCGGGCCGCGGUCCUCCGCGGCCGCCCCCCUCCCCGGGGGGUGGCCAGCGCCCGCCAGAGGACCAUCAAACUCCAGUCAGUAAACGAUGCAGUCUGAAAAACAUUUAAUAAACUAAAACUUUCAACAACGGAUCUCUUGGUUCUGGCAUCGAUGAAGAACGCAGCGAAAUGCGAUAAGUAAUGUGAAUUGCAGAAUUCAGUGAAUCAUCGAAUCUUUGAACGCACAUUGCGCCCUUUGGUAUUCCGAAGGGCAUGCCUGUUCGAGCGUCAUUACAACCCUCAAGCUCUGCUUGGUAUUGGGCACCGUCCUUUGCGGGCGCGCCUCAAAGACCUCGGCGGUGGCGUCUUGCCUCAAGCGUAGUAGAACAUACAUCUCGCUUCGGAGCGCAGGGCGUCGCCCGCCGGACGAACCUUCUGAACUUUUCUCAAGGUUGACCUCGGAUCAGGUAGGGAUACCCGCUGAACUUAAGCAUAUCAAUAAGCGGAGGAA
rnacentral:rRNA from 1 species